rnacentral:rRNA from 1 species
AGGACGAACGCUUGCGGCGUGCCUAAGAAAUGCAAGUCGAGCGGAAGUAGCAAUACUUUAGCGGCGAACGGUCGCGUAACACGUAGCCAACCUGCCCAGAAGACCGGGACAACACUCCGAAAGGGGUGCUAAUACCGGAUGUGCCCAUUUUGCCACAUGGCUUAAUGAGUAAAUCAUUUAUGGCUUCUGGAGGGGGCUGCGGCCUAUCAGCUAGAUGGUGGGGUAAUGGCCUACCAUGGCGUCGACGGGUAGCUGGUCUGAGAGGAUGGUCAGCCGGACUGGGACUGAGAUACGGCCCAGACUCCUACGGGGGCAGCAAUUAGGAAUCUUGCGCAAUGGGGGCAACCCUGACGCAGCGACGCCGCGUGGAGGAUGACGGCCUUCGGGUUGUAAACUCCUUUAUCGGGAAGAAACAAUGACGGUACCGAUGAAUAGCCCGGCUAACUCCGCGCCACGCAGCCGC